rnacentral:rRNA from 1 species
AGGGCGAACGCUGGCGGCGUGCUUAACACAUGCAAGUCGAGCGGUAAGGCCCCUUUCGGGGGGUACACGAGCGGCGAACGGGUGAGUAACACGUGGGUAAUCUGCCCUUCACUCUAGGAUAAGCACCGGAAACGGUGUCUAAUACCGGAUACGACCAGCCUACGCAUGUGGUGUUGGUGGAAAGUUUUUCGGUGGGGGAUGUGCUCGCGGCCUAUCAGCUUGAUGGUGGGUAAUGGCCUACCAUGGCGUCGACGGGUAGCCGGCCUGAGAGGGUGACCGGUCACACUGGGACUGAGACCACGGCCCAGACUCCUACGGGAGCAGCAGUGGGGAACAGUUGGACAAGUGGGCGAAGCCUGAUCCAGCAACGCGCGUGAGGAUGACGGCUUCGGUAGUAACUCUUCAUCACCGACGAACGCCGUUU